rnacentral:rRNA from 1 species
GACCCCAUGGAGCUUUACUGUAGCUUGACAUUGGGUCUUGGUACUACAUGUACAGGAUAGGUGGGAGGCUUUGAAACCAGGACGCCAGUUUUGGCGGAGCCAUCCUUGGGAUACCACCCUUGUAGUACUGGGACUCUAACCAUAGGCCAUGAAUCUGGUCUUGGGACACUGUCAGGUGGGCAGUUUGACUGGGGCGGUCGCCUCCCAAAAGGUAACGGAGGCGCUCAAAGGUUCUCUCAGUACGGUCGGAAAUCGUACGUAGAGUGUAAAGGCAAAAGAGAGCUUGAUUGCAAGACAUACAGGUCGAGCAAGGAUGAAAAUCGGACUUAGUGAUCCGGUGGUUCUGCGUGGAAGGGCCAUCGCUCAACGGAUAAAAGCUACCCUGGGGAUAACAGGCUUAUCUCCCCCAAGAGUCCACAUCGACGGGGAGGUUUGGCACCUCGAUGUCGGCUCAUCACAUCCUGGGGCUGUAGUAGGUCCCAAGGGUUGGGCUGUUCGCCCAUUAAAGUGGUACGCGAGCUGGGUUCAGAACGUCGUGAGACAGUUCGGUCCCUAUC